CUCACAGACACUUGCACGCCUGCAGCACAAUGAUGAUGUCACUGAGUCUACUGCUGACCGGCCUGGGGCUCCUUGUUCAGGGUUCAUCAGGAGACAUCCUGCUGACUCAGUCUCCUGGAGCUCAGUCUGUUGUUCCAGGACAGACUGUCUCCAUCAGGUGUAAAGCCAGUUCUAGUGUUAGUAACUACCUUCACUGGUACCAGCAGAAAUCAGGAGAAUCUCCCAAACUUCUGAUUUAUUCCACCUCAACUCGUCAGUCUGGGAUCUCAGAUCGUUUCAGUGGAAGUGGAUCUGGAAGUGACUUCACUCUGACCAUCAGAGGAGUUCUGGCUGAAGAUGCAGGAGAUUAUUAUUGUCAGCAGGGUUACAGCUCCCCGUUCACACAGUGAAACAACGUCGUACAAAAACCUCCUCAGCUGGAGAGGAACUGAUCCACUCAACAGCUGCACAGGAACACAGACACUUUACGUUUGAGUGACACUUAACCUUCCUCUUGUGAUGCAGUCGGCACCGACCCGUUUUAGGUUUUAAAUGCAUUAAG